ACCACAUUAGGACCGUCGGUCUACCGAGCAAUAUCACCCGCUCGGUGGAAGAUCUUCCCUUGUCGU
rnacentral:pre_miRNA from 1 species